GACGAACCGUGCAAACGUUGUUCGGAAUCACUGGGCUUAAAGGGCGCGUAGGCGGGAACGCAAGUCAGGGGUGAAAGCCCACGGCUCAACCGUGGAAGUGCCUUUGAUACUGCGUUUCUUCGAGGGAGGGUAGGGGCGUGCGGAACUUCCGGUGGAGCGGUGAAAUGCGUAGAUAUUCGCAAGAACACCAGUGGCGAAGGCGGCUCACUGGCCCGGUACUGACGCUGAGGUGCGAAAGCGUGGGGAGCAAACAGGG
rnacentral:rRNA from 1 species